CGGCGUGCUUAAUACACGCAAGUCAACUUGACUUUAGAUAGCAAUAUCGAAAAGUAGGGUGGCGCACGGGUGCGUAACGCGUAGGUAAUCUGCCCUGAGGUCUAACAUAACCCGUCGAAAGGCGGGCUAACAUCAGAUGAUAUAUAAUCACGACAUCGUGGAAAUAUCAAAUCUUCGGAGCCUUGGGAUGAGCCUGCGUCUGAUUAGGUAGUUGGCGGAGUAAUAGCCCACCAAGCCUACGAUCAGUAGCUGGUCUGAGAGGAUGAUCAGCCACACUGGAACUGAGACACGGUCCAGACUCCUACGGGAGGCAGCAGUAAGGAAUAUUGCUCAAUGGGGGGAAACCCUGAAGCAGCAACGCCGCGUGAAGGAUGAAAUACUUUUGUAUGUAAACUUCUGUAAGAUGGGAAAAAUAUUCUCCUCGGGAGAAUUGAUUGUACCAUCAGAGUAAGCCCCGGCUAACUACGUG
rnacentral:rRNA from 1 species